CCCCAAGUCAAGCAAGGUGGAGAAAUAGAUGGUGGUGCGAGGGUCUGACCAACAGUGUCUCGACGGUGGCGCACGGCGUGGUUCUGAUUCUGGAGCAAGGUAAUGCACUAUCCGUUCAAAAUUGCUUUAUAUACUGAAUAAUAUUUAUCAAUAUCAUCGGCCAUUUAGCGAUGUAAUGGUUAAUUCUUCAUUUGAACUGAUUUCAUUUUGAUUUGACGAACAUAGAUUUCCUUCAUCAGAAACUUCCCUUCGAAAGAAACCUGGCUUUUUAGCCUCAACCAAUUCCAUCUCACUACCUAACAUUUGAACUACAGAUGUCAUUGUAGGUCUAUCCUCCGGGUACUGUUGCACACACAAUAGACUCACAUGGAUGCAUCGCAAUACCUCUGAAACAACACAUGAUUCUUUUAUUUUUAUUUCAAUCAACUCUAAUGCCUUUCCCUCUUUCCAAAGUGUCCAUGCCUGAAAUAAUAAAAUACUUUAUCACAUUUCAAUUUCAACAUUCAUAAACAGAAAAUUAAAUAUAAGUGCUUACAUAUCCAACAAGGUUAAGUGUCUCGUUUUCAUGACAAAGCGAUCUAUUUUUGUUCCCACAUAUAAUUUCUAAUAGUAAAACUCCAAAGCUGAAAACGUCUGAUUUGAUUGAAAAUAGUCCAUCAACGGCAUACUCUGGUGCCAUGUAUCCACUGUCGUAAACAGUUAGAUCAAAAUAUUUAUAUAUAAGAUAAAAAUAAUUAGAGAAUUGAUAUAUAGACACACUUUUUCACAAUCAGCAUCAUAUAUGUAUAAAAAUACAUGUUUUCUCUUUUACCUCGGUCCCCUUGCACACACCAUUGAGUUGUAUUUUGUAAUGUGGUGCAUAAUUGAUAUCAAAAAACUUUAAAAAGUGUCUAUAUAUCAUUUCUCAAAUAAGUAAGCUUGAGAAACUUGCAUUUGUCACGGUCAAUCAAUCUAGAUCCAAUAGUCAAGAUUGUUUGACUUUGGCAAAUGUGGAAUUCUCCCACCGUAAAAAAUGAUAAUCGAAAUCCAAACUAACACGCACUAAGUUCCAACUACUCUGUUAGUAUUUCCUUCAAUCUGAUCUCCUCCAAAAGAUCUAGCCAUUCCAAAAUCUGAUAUUUUUGGAUUUAACUUGUCAUCCAACAAUACAUUACUUGCUUUCAGGUCUCUAUGAAUAAUCCUUAAUCGAGAGUCUUGAUGAAGAUACACAAGUCCCCUCGCAACUCCAAAUAUUAUUUGAAAGCGUAGGGGCCAUUCUAGUAAUUUACCUUUUAUUUGAUCUGAUUUUUACAAAGGAAACGUGUAAUUGUCAAUUAAAUAAAUAAAUAUGAUUGAUGUAUGCAGAUAAAUAAAUAUGCUGCACCUAAUCUAAGCAUUCGUCAUAUUCCAUACCAAAAAUAAAUGAGUCAAGGCUACCAUUAGCCAUGUAUUCGUAUACUAGCAAUUUUUCUUGUCCUCCAACACAACAACCGAGAAGCUUAACCAGAUUUCUGUGUUGAAGUUUUGCAAUCAGUUUUACUUCUGUCAAGAACUCGGUGAUUCCUUGUCCAGAGUUGCGUGAAAGUCUCUUAACAGCAAUUUCUUGCCCAUCCGCUAAUUUUCCCUGCAUAAUUGCUUUUAUUUUAUAAUAUUAAAACUUCUCUAGUUGUUCACGUCUCUGGUAAAUACUCAACACUUGAAUCAAUAUUCAGUUACCUUAUAUACAGAUCCAAAACCACCUUGUCCAAUCUUAUUAUUUAAUGAGAAAUUGUUAGUAGCACUAGCAAUUGUUUGCAGAUCGAAUAAUGGUAAUUCCAGAUCCUCUAGAUGCCUUUCAAUGUUAUCUUCUGUCUUUGACUUAUCUGAGAAACGGAACAGAGGAAAUGACAUAUUCAGUAAUAUUAUGAAACCUGCGGAGGGGAUCAUUUGAGCUGAUUAAGUUAUAUAAACAUGGAAUAUUAAAUAUAGAGAUGGAAAUAGAAAAUAUAUAAGGUUCUUUCAAUUUCUUACAUGUGUAGCUUGAAACUCUAGGCCAUUAAACCAUCCAGAUUCAAUGACAUCUUUAUAUACCUUUUAAAAUUCAACAGGAACAUUCUAUGAAUGAUAAGAGAGUCGUUGCAACUUGCAAAAUUGGUUGCAUCAAAAGGGUGGGGAAUUCCCCAGCCAAGUCCUUGAACCAACAAGUUUUGUUACACUUACUAGAUAUACGAACUCAAUGUUCAGAUUCCUACCAAUAUAUGAGACAGUUGCAUCUUCCAAUCUAAUAAAAAGUUUACAAUCCUGAACUAUAUAAUCAAUGGCAGCAAUACAAUUUACAAUUUCCCAAGUUCAAGGCCAUGUUAAAAAACCACUUGGCCUCAAAUUUACCAAUAUAAGGCAAUAACAUAAGGGAUGAUUACCCCCAAAGAGUGUCUCUUGAGAGUUAGAAGUAUUUCUAUUUUCUGAUUUGUCAAUUAAAAAGUUAUGAAGAGAAAAGAGCUCCCAUUCCAUGAAUUUAAUGACAAUAAUAAAAUGAAUGAAAAAUUAAGUUACCUGCAAUUCUCCUUCGAACUCUAUAAAUGACAUAAAUGCAAAGUAAAAGCACCCCAGAAAUUGCAGCAGCAGUGGUAGCAGCUAUGAUUAUCACGCUUUUGUUGCGCCCAUGUGAAGCCUCUUCAUCUAUGAAACAGAUAAACUUAUAAGUUACGACAUCCUCCUUGGAUUUAAAAGUAAUCAUAUAUUCAUUCGACAUGACACAAGUACAACAUGAAUUAUGCAAUAAUAUUAGGAGAUAAAAAGUUGUUUCUUACCUAUUACCCGAGCUAUACGGAUAUAGAGAUCUUGGCCGCCAGUGGGAAACUGUCUUAUGUCGAUUAGAUUGCCGAACCACAUGACACAGCCACUUCCCUUUCCACUUAUGUCUGAAUUAGUAUAAGCUGUACAAGAGCAAUUAUUCAAGCACAUGGUUCUGCAUAACCCUAAAUCAACAUUCUCGUACAACAAAGUAUGUGUAGUAUCUGGUACUUUGAGACCUAUAUAUCUGAUCAACUCAUCAUCCACAUCCUUAUUCACUUGAGGGCUGUUGCAACUUAAUGUUAUACUACGGACACACCCAUCACUCCAGUCAGAUGAGUCCCAUUGUUGCGUUGACUUUGGAACGAACCCAUGUAAACAUUCGCAAGCUGGUGAAUUUGUGGUUGAGCAACUUGCAUAGGGUCCACAAGCCCCAUACAAUUCACAGAAGUUAUUUGGGGUACUUUCAGUAAGCACCCAAUUUGAAUCAUCUUCUUCCCACACAGAGAUAGAAAAAUUGGUUUGGUAUAUAAUAGCACUAACAAAGGCAGAAGGAUUCUUGAGGGUAAAGGAGUAAAACAUCUCAUCCUUAUUAGACACAUAAUUGAAAUCAUUAUUAGCAACAUACUUGAAAUCAUAUAUAGAAUUUUGUUUUCGAUCCGACAAACCACUAAAUUGAAGUCCAUUCCAUGGUCCGAUCCGACAGUAUUUCUCUGUUCCAUUCAUCAAAUAAAACUCUGGAUAAUUAUGAAGAACCAGACCCCAUGAAAGAUCUCCAGGAGAUGGAUCAUCAACACUCUUCCAAGAAGUUAUUCUCCUUUCAAAAUCAUUUCUGAGGUCCCAUCCCAAUUUCAUUCCAGGCAAAAUUGUAUCACAGGGAUAGUCAAAGCUUUGCCACAAGUAGGUUCCUGCUGUUUCUCCUUCGUUCCUUAUAACAAGAUUGCCACUGUCCAAGAGCUCUGCAAUUGGUUUCUGUGCUUGUUUAUCUGAUGUUGUGUUCCAAAUAACAGUUUCAUUUUGGUGGAGCAUGAGAUUACCUGAGGUUCUCAGUGUUAAGAUUCCUAAAGUAUUGUUGAUGGGGUUGACCCUAUUUGCAACCCAAACAACCUUUUGUAUUGGCAUCUGCUUGUACCAAAUCCCAAGGUAACGUUUUUCAGAAGUGCCUGGACUGAAGAAACCCAGUUCAAAUUGUCCACCUUUUGAAACUAAGGUUUCACCAUCACUUAUAGACUGAGAAACACUUAUGGAACUAGUUGCUAUAAUGGGGACAAUUGUGUAAGCAAUUAUAAUAAAAAAAGAAAGAAUGUCCAUCGCAUGAUACUUGUAUAUAUUUGGAUAUUGAAGAUUGGAUUUAGCUAAGUGUAAGAUAAUUUAUAAACAUACCAAAUAGCAUGAUGAGCUGAGAUUGGUUUUGUGCUAAUUUCCUUGUUUCAUAUCAAGGCAUAUUAUUGUUGCUGUGAGGAGUCUUCACUCUUCACAAAUAAUGGUUGCUCAGUAGUAGCAAUUGUUUCUACUUGGACUCGUUCGUUUUCCUUUCUGCUAAUGCCUAGUAGUAUAUAUUAUAUAUUUUGUUUGGUCUGCGCAGUUUUAUUUUGACUUAAAUACUUAUAUCUUUCUAUCUUGGUAUUUAUUAAUAAUCAACUGUCAACUAAUCUAUUAGCUUAAAGUUUUAAAUUACAGGUUUGAUUGAGAGAGAAUUGGGCGACACUGGGUAUAUAGGAGAAUAUAAGAUGCCAAGUUCAAGUAUCCAAAUGGUAGGACAUGAACAUUUUGCAGAACAAGAUGGUCGUUUCCAUAUCUAUUUAGGCUAAAAUAUACUUUUUCUCACGGUACAUUGAAUAUGAAAUAGAAAAAAUGUUGAUUUAACGAUGUUGUUCGAGGUGGCAUAAUUAAUGUAUCAAUUGACAUUUAAAAUUCUUAAAUCAUUUACAUUUUUCUUUAAAUUGUUGUUUUUACUAUAAGAUUUAGUUGAAGGAAAUAGCGAUUUCAAGACUAUUUUUGAGAUUUUGGAUGUAAAUUGAGACACUAAAUAUACAAUCUCAAACAAUUAUUGUUAAGUCAUCAUUUGUUACAUUUUAUAUUCAAAUGUACAGGAAAAAAGGACUAACAUUUACACGACUGAAAAAGAUAAAUUACUAAAUAAAAAAAUAAAGCACCAUAACAAAUGUUAGGUAAAAUAUAAAGGCU
rnacentral:lncRNA from 1 species